AUACGGAGGAUGCAAGCGUUAUCCGGAUUUAUUGGGUUUAAAGGGUGCGUAGGCGGUUUGCUAAGCGGGAGGUGAAAUGCCGGCGCUCAACGUCGGAAGUGCCUCCCGAACUGGUGGACUUGAAUGACUCUGCCGUGGGAGGAAUGUGUAGUGUAGCGGUGAAAUGCUUAGAGAUUACACAGAACACCGAUUGCGAAGGCAUCUCACGAAGGGUUGAUUGACGCUGAGGCACGAAAGUGUGGGGAUCAAACAGGAUUAGAUACCCUGGUAGUCCACGCAGUAAACGAUGAUGGCUAACCGCUGGGCUUAUCAGUUCAGUGGCCAAGCGAAAGCGAUGAGCCAUCCACCUGGGGAGUACGACCGCAAGGUUGAAACUCAAAUGAAUUGGCGGGG
rnacentral:rRNA from 1 species